CAGCUCAUUUUUAUGGUUCACCGAUCCUUCUCCAAUUACAACACCCUACUUUGAUUUUAUGUCAUUUUAAAGCACCGUACUUUAAAAAUCUACCAUUUACAUCAUCUCACAUUCAUUUUAGAUCAUUAUAAAUUAACGUAUUUGAAAUCUAGCAAUUACAACAUCAUACUUUCAUUUUAGUUUAGUAUGGCAUUGGAGGUAUGGAGCUAAAGUGCACUUUAAUGUGAAAACCCUAAACAGGGUCUCCUCUUCUCUCUACUGUUUCUAUCGAUAUAUGUUGGCUUUUAACGGACAAGUAUAAGUCUAGCAAGGGUUUAGAAUCAAAUUUCUUUCGAAAAGAUCAUGAGUUGCAGGUCUAAAAAGAGGAAGAAGACAAUGCGUCUUCCUGCGACGGUGAAGAGAGAACAGACAGCAGUUUUUGGAAAAGGCAAGUUUGGUCCCCUGCUGUUUGAUUUUCUGACCAGUCCUACCCCAGACCACAUUUCUCUUCACAAAAUGAUUUUUGAAAAAUUACAAAUUCGACCCCGGACUUUCUAAUUCAAUUAUUUAACCCUUUUAUUUUCAACCCAAAACAUCAUAGUCAUACUUCACAACAUCACUUACACUAAUUUCUACCAAAUAAAUCAAUUCCCAGAGUUGGUUCCUCUAAUAAAUUAAAUGACUAAGCGGAGGAUCAUGAAUAAAUGGCCGUUUGAUUUCAAGCCUACGUACAUCUAGCCCGUUUUUGGUUAUGACCAUGGUUCAAGAGUUGACAAAUCAAACAUUUAAUUUGAUGAGAUAGAUAUUUGUGUCUUCAAUUGUUUGUACUAUGAAAGCCCAUUCAUUUUUGGCCGAGUAUAGCUUGAAUCACAUUUUGGAUGUUGGUUCCUAUGUAUGUUUAAAAUUGGCCAGGAUGAAAGAAAAUGAGUUCGAAAUUGGGUCUACACAAAUGAGAAAGAAAGUUGUCAUCGUGUUUGAUAUCUAAAUGAGAUAUUCCUUUAUAACUUUUUUUUGUUAAUUAAUAGAUAAAGUUGAGUAUUAUUCUUGGCCACACCUAGAAAUAAAAGUUAAAACAUUUUUUUUAAAUAAAUAAGGGAUUAUUAGAAAAUCCCAAUAAAUAUAUAGAUGGGGCAGAAGCAAAAAGCUUAAUAAUGGUCUUAAAUCCUUAAAACUUUAAAUAGUUAAGUAAAACAUGAGCUAUAUAAUAUAUGAUAAUAAGAUGAUAAGAGCGUCAACACCAAUUUAGUAAGAAUUUGAAGGGCAGAUGCUCUGGAGUCGGUCCUUGUAGAAAGCUUGUGUGGGAAUGAGAUAGAGUUUCCCAUUUUGGAUUAUGAUCAGGUGGUUCUAUUUGAACAUCUUUAAGGUAACGAGGCCAAUAUGUCUUACUAUUCUUUUUCUCCAAUACCUGGAGCAUGAGCUUGCAAAAGUGAUUCUUAUCUUUCAACAUGGUGUCGGGCCAUGCAGUCACUUGUUGAGGUCGACAAAUCUCAAAAAACGCUUGGAAAAACGGGGAGCACUCCCACAGACAUUCAUCGCCGGUAGUUUUAAACGAAAGUUUUUGCAAGUUGGUCGCCGGAGGAAAUGGUAGCCUUCUUCUUAGAUCAUCGAUGUCAAUCUCCAAUGGUAAUGGCCGGUGAUGGUUGAUGGUUUUUAUAUGAAGUCUGCUGCACUUGCUUGAUAACAUGAGUGCUUCCCUCAUCUUAAGGAAAAAAGAAGCAUCGACACGAUCAAUGUUGAGUAACUAUUUGUAAUUCGUGAAGACAAACAAGGUUUUUAACUUUGAUGGUGUUGAGGCCCUUAGAACAAUAUAAAAGCUUUAUCUUCUCAAGCAAACUACAAGACAACAAUAUGUCAUGGAGGACCUCGUCGCUUAUGUGCACACCCACUAAGUGUAGUUCUCGUAAGGAUACACAUUUCGGGGGAUGAUGAUGAUGAUGAUGAUGAUGAUGAUGAUGACAAGUAUUCAUAGAAACCGAAUGGAUCCCAUCAAUAGGAACCGAAACUCUUAUCUUAGUUAGGUUUCGACCGGAGAGUAUCUCAUAUGGUAACUGCAGCGAGGCACCAUAAGGCCGGAUUGUGAGGGAAAGCUCUUUAACUCUAGUAGUUUUAGUGGCCACCAUACGGAUCAAGCGUGUAACCACGACUUGGACAAGACACUGGUGCGGGCAGCUUCCUCUACCGAUAACCGGGACUGUACAUGGUGCAUCAACUCCGGAACAUCUUCUAGAGCGAGGGUUUAUCAAUGGACCAACUACAGAUCUCGUAAGUGUUUAUCGACGCACCUCAAUUCCUCGCCAAUGGAUCGAAGAUGAAGGCAUUUUAGCGAGGGUUCAGCGAAAGAUAGAGAAAUUGUGAAUUUUUUCCAUCUGGUAUGUGUUUAGUGAGAGAACGCCAACGGAAAUUUUACUUGGGGUACGUGGAAUUGUUGAAAUUGGUGCAACGCAAUUCUUGUUUCACGAAAUUGUUGUAAGUUUCCUUCCCUCUCAAAUAUGAUCUAACACUAUGGAGUAAGUUCCCGACGCUAUGUUAACCUAAUAUCACCAUCUCAUUUCAAACAAAUGACGAAACACCUCACCAUUGCUGCCUUCCGAUUCUAGCAAAGUCUAUAAAAUCUAAAAGUUGUUUUCAUUAAAUUUUGAUUCAUGUAAAUCUCUUGAUUUUCUUUUCUUUAGUCGUAUAUUAGGUUAGGUUUAGUUUUGUUUCAACCAUCAUCCCUCUUAUACCUCAGCGUUACAUGCACGAUUCACCUUGAAUCGAUUGCAUCAUGUAAUUAAAACCUCUAUUUGUGAUUCCUGAAUCUCAUCUUCUAACUUGACAUGUUCCUUCAUCUCUUGAAUGUUUGUCUAUAAUUCAACAGGUUUUGUAGCUUUGACUAGCUUUGAACGGUGUUUCUAAGCCUCCCUACACUUGUUUCUCAAGUGUCUUUUCUGAUUUUUUCUUUUCGGCAUCAAGCUUUAAAGGUACAUCUUCAUUAGAUAGAGACACAUAACAAUAACAAAAUACGUCUCUAAAUCACCAAAUAUAGAAACAUUAUACUUUUGUAAUUAAAAGUUUCCAACUUAUAGGAAUGUAUAUGAUGUCCAAUUGUCUACCACUGUCACUAGCUAAACAUAAGAUCACUGAUAAAUGGAUACAUCUUGAUGAGAGCCACAAAAGUGAACUAUGAGAAUGAGAUAUUGUUUAUUAACAAUAACAAUAGCUUUAAGUUGCAUUUCUUUCAAACUUUUGGGAUCAUAGGCUAGAUAGGCUUUAUGUGGUAGCUGUAUGUAUAAUGUAUUAUAUAUCAUAUAAACUAUUGCCAAGUCUUAUGUUAUUUCUAUCAGAGGAAAAGACAAAACCUUCACUAAGGACUUGUUUCUGAACUCGUUUUACAUGGUGUGGAUAUUCGAAUGGUAGAAUCUUUUAAUUUCCUGAAGAGCAAAUAGUUUUAAUUAACAAUCAAUGAUAAAAUUCAAGAAAACCAGGAUUCUGAUUAUAUACUUUUUGGCAAUGGAGUGGGUUUGGAGUGAAUCGACCUUGAUCCAAACCCUUUUAAUAAAUUUCAAAAUGCGAUCCAAACCCGCUCCGUAACCCGCAGGGUUUUAAAUAAUCAGACUCAUAACCUUAUCCACCGAAUCAACGAAUAUUCAAACCCGCCCCAUAACCCAAAGGUUUUUUAAAUAAUUAAACACAUUUUAAUUAAUUCCUAAAAUAAAAUUUCUUAAAUAAAAAAAAAAUGUAUACUCUAUCUUAAUACUUAAAAUAACAUUUUUUUUUAAAUAAAAAAGUUGAUUUAGAAAAGGACAUUACAUACUCGAAGAAUUUCAAUUGGAAUUAAAAAUCACUAUUGCAACAACUUUGAAUCGAUUUAUGAUUGUCAGUUAUAGUGAUAUCGAAUAGCAGUUGCCAACUUUUUUCAUGUUAAAAAAUGAUUUAUUGAAUUAGAAAUGGAUAUGACGAUUUAUUGAAUGACAUUAUGAUUCCUGAUAGAAGUCUAUAAGUUUAGAAACCGACUUAUCGAUUCCUAUGUAAAAGCGUUUUUUUCUUGGCCUUUGCCCUUUGGACUUUUGAUUGGAAUUAAAAUUAAACGUUAACAAGUAAAAUAUAUAUGUAUAAUUCUAAAAUUUAUAUAGGGCGGGUAAUAAAUGGAGCGGAUCGGUGAUGAUCCAUACCCGACCCAUUUAAUAAAAGGGUUAGCGGGUAUGGAUCGUUAACGGGUAAACGAAUCAAAAACUACGCUCCAAACCCAUAUAAUUCUUACGGGUUUGGAUCGGAUCAGGGUCAAAACCCGCUCCAUUGUCAGGUCUACUUUUGGGAUGAAUUUGUGUAUGCCAGUUGAGUAGGCUGGAUGUGUUUCUAAAGGCUGACUGUGUGAAGGUGAAUCUUGAUACCCCUCAAAAGCAAGUCAGAUUUUUGACACUCAGUGGUUAGUUUUAUUUGUCUGUUUAGUUCUAUAAAUUUGUUUUGUUGCUUCAAGUUCUAUUGGUGAUCAUUCUUAUCCUCAAAUGAAACCUUAAAAUAAUUGAUACACCAGUAGUUUGCGCUCAAAUCCACCACAAUUGUUAUAACAUUGUGAAAUAGGGUUAAAUGCAAGAAAUAGCAACUCACUUUCAUUGAUUUGUUUAACAUCCUACUUCUAUUUCUUUCCUACUAUGUUAUGGAAUGAAAUAUUAGUGUUUUACAAUUAUUCAUAUUUUUAUUAGAAAACCUUGGUCUAUGAUUCUUUAUUAUAUAUAGAUAUUGAUCACCAUCUAUAUAAAAUAAAAAUACUUGUCUUUGUGAAGGUGGAAAGAAGCUACUUACUCCACAACCCCGUUUAAGGACUGAAUUUUUUCCAUUUUAAAAAAUGAUGAAAUUUGUUAAAUUUUGCAGCUUGGAAUAGUGGUCAUAUGGGUUUCUGAUUUUGUUGUCUGGGCUUUUGCCAAAUCCAGAGCUUGAGAGUUCGGUUCUUUCUGUGUGAAUUUUAUCAACAAUCUCAAUACUAUUGCUACACUCUAUGCUAUACCAUAUGAAUUUGUUGCAGUCGUUAGCAGGCUGGAGUGAAGAAGUUCUGAACAUGCUUUAGCCUCUGUUCUCCUCUGUUUUCUUCUUUCUACAUCAGGUGUAAUGACUUUUUAUAAUUGAUAUGCACUCAAUAUUUACAAUUUUAUAAUUAGUAGAUAAAUGCUUUCACUAUUUCUAGUUGUGAGUACAUGUCCAACAAUAAUAACAAAAGAUAAACAUAAGAAACAUCAAUAAAAUCUUUAAAAAUCAACCGCUCUAUGUCCAAAAGUACCCCUGGAAUCUCAUAGCAACACUUAUCCCAAAACUACCCCUGGAACCUCAUAAAAUCCUUUCAAUGUCACCCUUACCUUUUUCUUUCCUUUAAACAUCAAACAAAUUAAUAUUAUACUUACAGUAAGUGUGUGAUUAUGGUUGGGUUACCAUUGUAAUAAUAAACAAUAAUAAGUUUUGAUACUGGCAUUUAUUUAGUUCCUAUAACAUAAAAAUACCAUAAAUCGAAAUAUAUAAGUUAACAUUUAUGUAUAUUUAGAAAAAAAAAAGCUUAUUUCAAUUUCUUAUUUAUUUUAAACAUAAGGCCAAUUAAAUUAAUGUUGUUUAUUAUAAAUAGGAAUAAACUUUUUCUAAAGUCUAUAAUAUUUUGCAUUCUGAUCAAAAUUGAAAUGCAUUGGAGUGCUUGUUCCCAUGUUUGUUAUUUUGUUUGCUUUUCUCUUCGGACCAUUUUGUCUUGGGUUUGCUUUUCCUUGUUUUUCCUGUGUUGGUGGCAAGGUUUUUUGUUUUAUGACCAUUUUAACCCUAGACACCAAUGUAUGGAUAUUUGCUCUGUUUUGGUCAGUUCAUAUGAGGAAGCAAAAAAUAUUUUGACCAUAAACACGAAGGCACGAAGCAACAUUCCAAAUCCUCAUUUCUUGGACACCAACGUCCAAGUUGGCAGUUCCCCAUCAUAUAAGAUUGAGAGAAAACUUGGAAAAGGAGGAUUUGGGUAAUAGAGGUUGCAUUGAAAUUUUAACACAAAAGGAACAAACGAUGUAACUAUGGGACACCGUAUGAAAUGACAGGUUCACAAGUUGUGUAUUAAUGUGUACGACAUGAGAUGUGUGGGGAGAUGGAUAUUAAAGCUGCAGAAAUGGAGGCUAAAUAUAAGAGGAAAUUAAGAAUUAUGGUAUUUUGAAAUUAAAUAUUGAUUAAUGUUAAACUUUGAUAUUUGAUAUUUUAGGAUUUUCUUUUUAUUUUUUGAUAAAUUUUGAUAGUUGAUGCUUUUGGUAUUUUAAGGUUAAUGGUUGGUUUUGUAGUGUAUAUUUAUUAAUUCUUUUGGUAUUUUGAUA